rnacentral:rRNA from 1 species
GCCAGACUCCUACGGGAGGCAGCAGUGAGGAAUAUUGGUCAAUGGGCGGGAGCCUGAACCAGCCAAGCCGCGUGAGGGAAGAAGGUACAGCGUAUCGUAAACCUCUUUUGUCAGGGAACAAAGGCGGGGACGUGUCCCCGGAUGAGUGUACCUGAAGAAAAAGCAUCGGCUAACUACGUGCCAGCAGCCGCGGUAAUACGUAGGUGACAAGCGUUGUCCGGAUUUACUGGGUGUAAAGGGCGCGUAGGCGGACUGUCAAGUCAGUCGUGAAAUACCGGGGCUUAACCCCGGGGCUGCGAUUGAAACUGACAGCCUUGAGUAUCGGAGAGGAAAGCGGAAUUCCUAGUGUAGCGGUGAAAUGCGUAGAUAUUAGGAGGAACACCAGUGGCGAAGGCGGCUUUCUGGACGACAACUGACGCUGAGGCGCGAAAGUGUGGGGAGCAAACAGGAUUAGAUACCCGAGUAG